rnacentral:lncRNA from 1 species
UCUGUUUACUCACUGGGAUUUUAUAAUCUCACCACCCUCAUUUCCUCACAUUUUAGGCUCGGGGAAUUCCAUAGUUAGCUGACUUUGACAAGGACCUUCAUUUGGACUCGAAUCUAUAAAAGCUGUAGGUUUCCAGCUUCCGAUGCAUUUUGGAUAGAUGUGGGCCCAUGUGUCACUGUAAAGAAAUUUUAUGCUUUGGUUAUUUGCUUUAUAGUAUAUAUGACUAUAAUUAACUUUUACGCUAUAAGAAUUAUGUACCGAUAGUUUUACGAAAAUUAUUUUACAAGAAAAUAGUUAUUUUAUUGAAUAUUUUUAUUAUAUUCAAAUGGUCAAAUUUUCAUUUCAAAUGAACGUUUUAGAUACUUAAUUUUUUU